GACGAACGCUGGCGGUGUGCUUAAUGAAUGCGAGUCGAGCGAGAACCGGACUGAGGAAACCUUCGGGUGGAAUCAGUCUGGGGAGAGCGGCAAACGGGUGAGUAACACGUGGGUAACCUGCCCCUCAGACGGGGAUAAUUCGCCGAAAGGCGGACUAAUACCCGAUGGUGAUGUGCCAACACAUGUUGAUACAUCUAAAGGCUCCGGUGCUGAGGGAGGGGUCCGCGGCCGAUUAGCUUGUUGGUAGGGUAACGGCCUACCAAGGCUUCGAUCGGUAGCCGGUCUGAGAGGAUGACCGGUCACACUGGGACUGAGGCAUGGUCCAGACUCCUACGGGAGUUAGCAUCAGGGAAUCUUGCGCAAUGGGCGAAAGCGUGACGCAGCGACGCCGCGUGGGUGAUGAAGGCCUGCGGGUCGUAAAGCCCUGUCGGGAGGGAAGAAACAGCACCUUCGGGUGCUUUGACUGUACCUCCGGAGGAAGCCCCGGCUAAUUACGUGCCAGCAGCCGCGGUAAUACGUAAGGGGCCAGCGUUGUCCGGAAUUACUGGGCGUAAAGAGCACGUAGGCGGUUAGGAAAGCGAUAGGUGAAAUCCCCCGGCUCAACCGAGGAACUGCUUAUCGAACUGCCUGACUAGAGCACGGGAGAGGGCACUGGAAUUCCUGGUGUAGCGGUGGAAUGCGUAUAUAUCAGGAGGAACACCGGUGGCGAAGGCUGGUGCCUGGAACGUUGCUGACGCUAAGGUGCGAAAGCCAGGGGAACAAACGGGAUUAGAUACCCCGGUAGUCCUGGCCGUAAACGAUGGACACUAGGUGUUGGAGGUUCGACCCCUUCAGUGCUGUUAAGCUAACGCGUUAAGUGUCCCGCCUGGGGAGUACGGUCGCAAGGCUGAAACUCAAAGGAAUUGACGGGGGCCCGCACAAGCGGUGGAGCAUGUGGGUCAAUGGGAUGAUACGCCGAGAACCUUACCAGGGCUUGACAUGACCCUGAUCCCCUGCGAAAGCAGGUCUUCUGGGCAACCAGACAGGGCCACAGGUGGUGCAUGGUUGUCGACAGCUCGUGUCGCGAGAUGUUGGGUUAAGUCCCGCAACGAGCGCAACCCUCGCCGGAUGUUGCCAGCGGUUAGGCCGGGCACUCUUCCGGGACUGCCGGAGUAAUCCGGAGGAAGGGGGGGAUGACGUCAAAUCUGCAUGCCCCUUAUGUCCUGGGCUGCACACGUGCUACAAUGGCGAGUACAAAGGGUCGCGAAGCCGCGAGGCCCAGCUAAUCCCCAAAAACUCGUCCCAGUUCGGAUUGGAGUCUGCAACUCGACUCCAUGAAGUCGGAAUCGCUAGUAACCGUGGAUCAGCAAUGCCGCGGUGAAUACGUUCCCGGGCCUUGUACACACCGCCCGUCAAGUCACGGAAGCCGACAGCACCCCAAGUCCGCUACGGCGGCCCAAGGUGAGGUCAGUGACUGGGACU
rnacentral:rRNA from 1 species